UGCUGAUCCUGAUAUCAGACAUUUAACUUUCCUGAAAAGGUGGGGGAAGAACCGGAAGUGACACGGCAUCAGAUCCAAAGGUGGACGAGGACACACCACAGUGUAUUUACAAGCCUGCUGUUCCUUCAGACGGAACCUGGUAGCAGCAUUCACUUUAUUGUUAACCACAUAGUGUAGAGACCCUCAUGAAAAAAGGCUUGCAGACUGCUUUAGAAGGAGACAAGAAUGAUGAGACUAUAUUUGGCAUUAAACCGAGCUCAGCAGAAGUCACGAUCGUCAGCCUGUGGUUUGCGUUCUCCAGCCUUCAAGAAGGUUCCCUUCGCCUGCGCUGCACAAGGCUGCCUUUGCUUUUGCUUGUCUGACGCUGUCUAUAAUUUGAGAAUAGAGGUGAGAAAGAAUGUGGAUAUUCUAUUUUGUGACAUUUUUGUGGUGGCAUAGGUGUUUGAGAAUAGAGGUGAGAAAAUGUGGAUUUUCUAUUUUGUGAUAUUUUUGUGGUGGCAU
rnacentral:lncRNA from 1 species